rnacentral:rRNA from 1 species
UACAGAGGGGGCAAGCGUUGUUCGGAAUUACUGGGCGUAAAGGGCGCGUAGGCGGCCAACUAAGUCAGACGUGAAAUCCCUCGGCUUAACCGGGGAACUGCGUCUGAUACUGGAUGGCUUGAGAUUGGGAGAGGGAUGCGGAAUUCCAGGUGUAGCGGUGAAAUGCGUAGAUAUCUGGAGGAACACCGGUGGCGAAGGCGGCAUCCUGGACCAACACUGACGCUGAGGAGCGAAAAGCCAGGG